rnacentral:rRNA from 1 species
GAUGAACGCUGGCGGCGUGCUUAACACAUGCAAGUCGAACGGAGCUUAUAUGAUAGAGGAUUCGUCCAAUUGACUGUAAGCUUAGUGGCGGACGGGUGAGUAACGCGUGAGGAACCUGCCUUGGAGUGGGGAAUAACACAGUGAAAAUUGUGCUAAUACCGCAUAAUAUGUCUGUAUCGCAUGGUACUGGACAUCAAAGAUUUAUCGCUCUGAGAUGGCCUCGCGUCUGAUUAGGUAGUUGGUGAGGUAACGGCUCACCAAGCCGACGAUCAGUAGCCGGACUGAGAGGUUGGCCGGCCACAUUGGGACUGAGACACGGCCCAG